rnacentral:rRNA from 1 species
UACGUAGGCAGCGAGCGUUGUUCGGAAUUACUGGGCGUAAAGAGUGUGUAGGCGGUGCUCUAAGUUUGGUGUGAAAUCUCCCGGCUUAACUGGGAGGGUGCGCCGAAGACUGGGGUGCUCGAGCGUGGGAGAGGAAAGCGGAAUUCCUGGUGUAGCGGUGAAAUGCGUAGAUAUCAGGAGGAACACCUGUGGUGUAGACGGCUUUCUGGACCAUUGCUGACGCUGAGACACGAAAGCGUGGGUAGCAAACAGG